rnacentral:tRNA from 1 species
GCAGAGGUGGCGGAGUGGUCAAACGCGCCAGCCUUGAGAGCUGGAGCCUUGCGCUACACGAGUUCGAAUCUCGUCCUCUGCG